AGUGAGAUUUGUGGAUCACAUGUUAAGACUAUGUUAGCUUUGUAAGAAACUACCAAAGUGGUAUCCAAAGUGGAUGUACCAUUUGCAUUCCCACCAGCAAU
rnacentral:pre_miRNA from 1 species